UACGAAGGGGGCUAGCGUUGCUCGGAAUUACUGGGCGUAAAGGGCGCGUAGGCGGACAGUUAAGUUGGGGGUGAAAGCCCGGGGCUCAACCUCGGAAUUGCCUUCAAUACUGGCUGUCUUGAGUACGGGAGUGGUGUGUGGAACUCCGAGUGUAGAGGUGAAAUUCGUAGAUAUUCGGAAGAACACCAGUGGCGAAGGCGACACACUGGCCCGUUACUGACGCUGAGGCGCGAAAGCGUGGGGAGCAAACAGG
rnacentral:rRNA from 1 species